rnacentral:rRNA from 1 species
UGGUUCAGGACGAACGCUGGCGGCGUGCCUAAUACAUGCAAGUCGAGCGGACAGAUGGGAGCUUGCUCCCUGAUGUUAGCGGCGGACGGGUGAGUAACACGUGGGUAACCUGCCUGUAAGACUGGGAUAACUCCGGGAAACCGGGGCUAAUACCGGAUGCUUGUUUGAACCGCAUGGUUCAAACAUAAAAGGUGGCUUCGGCUACCACUUACAGAUGGACCCGCGGCGCAUUAGCUAGUUGGUGAGGUAAUGGCUCACCAAGGCAACGAUGCGUAGCCGACCUGAGAGGGUGAUCGGCCACACUGGGACUGAGACACGGCCCAGACUCCUACGGGAGGCAGCAGUAGGGAAUCUUCCGCAAUGGACGAAAGUCUGACGGAGCAACGCCGCGUGAGUGAUGAAGGUUUUCGGAUCGUAAAG